rnacentral:rRNA from 1 species
UACGUAGGCAGCAAGCGUUGUUCGGAGUUACUGGGCGUAAAGGGUGCGUAGGCGGCCCUGUAAGUAUGGUGUGAAAUCUCCCGGCUUAACUGGGAGGGUGCGCUAUAGACUGCGGGGCUCGAGUGUGGGAGAGGAAAGUGGAAUUCCCGGUGUAGCGGUGAAAUGCGCAGAUAUCGGGAAGAACACCCGUGGCGAAGGCGGCUCUCUGGGACGGUACUGACGCUGAGACGCGAAAGCGUGGGGAGCGAACAGG